rnacentral:rRNA from 1 species
CCUACGGGAGGCAGCAGUGAGGAAUAUUGGACAAUGGGCGCAAGCCUGAUCCAGCCAUGCCGCGUGCAGGAUGAAGCAUCUAUGGUGUGUAAACUGCUUUUGUACAGGAAGAAACCUCCCGACGUGUCGGGAAUUGACGGUACUGUAAGAAUAAGGAUCGGCUAACUCCGUGCCAGCAGCCGCGGUAAUACGGAGGAUCCAAGCGUUAUCCGGAAUCAUUGGGUUUAAAGGGUCCGUAGGCGGGCCAGUAAGUCAGUGGUGAAAUCUCUCCGCUCAACGGGGAAAUGGCCAUUGAUACUGCUGGUCUUGAAUUAUUAGGAAGUAACUAGAAUAUGUAGUGUAGCGGUGAAAUGCUUAGAGAUUACAUGGAAUACCAAUUGCGAAGGCAGGUUACUACUAAUGGAUUGACGCUGAUGGACGAAAGCGUGGGUAGCGAACAGGAUUAGAUACCCUGGUAGUCCACGCCGUAAACGAUGGAUACUAGCUGUUGGGGGCAACUUCAGUGGCGUAGAGAAGUAGAGUAAGUAGUACCACCGUCGGGAGGUAACGGUUCGUCGAAGAAGUAGUUAAAGUUAAAGGUAAAGUUAGUUACGGCGUGAGGAGUUGCCGACGGACGACGACGAGGGAGGAGG